CUCGUCUAGCACCUUUUUGUUGCCUGCUCUCCUGAUUUAGCUCCACUGCUUGAAGCGUGGGUGAUAACGUUACAACCGAUUCAGCUGACGUGCUUCUGACGUUCACUAGCAUAGCGCUAUCGUUUGUGCAUAUGGAUGGCGACUGUUGAAUGUAGGCUGUGUAACUGAGUAUCCUGUUAUAUCCAGAGACCCGGGGAAAGUGCUGUUUUUUUUGCAGUGGUAUUACCACUCCUUUGUUCUUAGUGGUCUGCCUCGGGCACAUUGUCUGUUCCUGUGUGUUUCGCGGAGCCUUCAUGGAGCUGCAGGCCUCCAUAGGAGUAGGGAGUGUGGCUGUCCUCCUCUUUUUGUUGGCGGUGUUUCCUCACCGAAUGCUGUGACCUGCAGUGUACACUGGGAUUUUCUGUUGGUACAUAUGUGAAUGUGGGAUGUGAAAAGGGAGAACAAUUCGCUUUCUGUCUAGCCUGCUCUGUAGUCAAGCUCUGUGAGGGUGUAUCUUUUGUACAAUGUGUGCUCAGAAGUGAUUAGGUGCAUACCUUUUAGUGAAGGCUAUAUCAUAUGAUGCAUUUUUAUUGUAAUAAAAGACUUCUGUAUUUGAGAA